UACGUAGGGUGCGAGCGUUGUCCGGAAUUACUGGGCGUAAAGAGCUCGUAGGUGGUUUGUCGCGUUGUCCGUGAAAACUCACAACUCAAUUGUGGGCGUGCGGGCGAUACGGGCAGACUGGAGUACUGCAGGGGAGACUGGAAUUCCUGGUGUAGCGGUGGAAUGCGCAGAUAUCAGGAGGAACACCGGUGGCGAAGGCGGGACUCUGGGCCGAUACUGACGCUGAGGAGCGAAAGCCAGGGAGCAAACGGG
rnacentral:rRNA from 1 species